GCCAAAGUGCCAUUGUUGAUAUAUUUUUGCAAAUCCACUUUCAUGACAGACUCUUCUUUCUAGCCAUGCAGGCACACAUCUGGUGCACGCAGGGAAAUGCACAUCUGGAUUAUAUGACAGCAGUGAGCCUCCAGCCUGCCUCUCAAGUACAGAAAACCCCUCCAGAGGUCUGGAAUUCUCUUCUGAUAGCCCUCCUGGUGACUCCAGG
rnacentral:lncRNA from 12 species